UACGUAGGGGGCAAGCGUUGUCCGGAAUCAUUGGGCGUAAAGCGCGUGUAGGCGGCCAGAUAAGUCCGCUGUGAAAUCUCGAGGCUCAACUUCGAGCUGUCGGCGGAAACCAUCUGGCUAGAGUCCGGAAGAGGAGAGUGGAAUUCCUGGUGUAGCGGUGAAAUGCGCAGAUAUCAGGAAGAACACCUAUGGCGAAGGCAGCUCUCUGGGACGGUACUGACGCUGAGACGCGAAAGCGUGGGGAGCGAACAGG
rnacentral:rRNA from 1 species